AGUACUGUGCACCUUAGUAGUAACAUGUCUUUAUUUCUCGAGGCUGCGGAAGAGACAGCCAGUAAAAUUAUUACGACCAGAUUCAACUAGUUCAGAUGACAUUCCUAGUAUAGAUUCUCUCCUCAUUGAUCUCUCGACACUACAAGUUGCUACAGAUUACUUCGGUGAACACAAAAGGCUUGGUGAAGGAGGAUUUGGCGUUGUUUACAAGGGAGAUUUACCAGAUGGUCAAGAAAUAGCGGUGAAGAGGCUCUCCC